rnacentral:rRNA from 1 species
GACGAACGCUGGCGGCGUGCUUAACACAUGCAAGUCGAACGGAAAGGCCCAGCUUGCUGGGUGCUCGAGUGGCGAACGGGUGAGUAACACGUGGGUGAUCUGCCCCUAACUUCGGGAUAAGCUUGGGAAACUGGGUCUAAUACCGGAUAGGACAAUCGUUUAGUGUCGGUUGUGGAAAGUUUUUUCGGUUAGGGAUGAGCCCGCGGCCUAUCAGCUUGUUGGUGGGGUAAUGGCCUACCAAGGCGUCGACGGGUAGCCGGCCUGAGAGGGUGGACGGCCACAUUGGGACCGAGAUACGGCCCAGACUCCUACGGGAGGCAGCAGUGGGGAAUAUUGCACAAUGGGCGCAAGCCUGAUGCAGCGACGCCGCGUGGGGGAUGACGGCCUUCGGGUUGUAAACCUCUUUCGACAGGGACGAAGCUUUGGUGACGGUACCUGUAUAAGAAGCACCGGCUAACUACGUG